UUCUACAGGUAAAGGAAACGGUGUAAAUGUAUAUGUGAUUGAUACCGGCAUCAACCCAACCCACACAGAAUUUGGUGGCCGAGCCGCUGUCGCCUACGACGCCACUGGUGGCAAUGGAAUUGAUUGCAAUGGCCAUGGAACUCACUGUGCUGGAACUAUUGCUGGCUAUAACUAUGGCGUUGCCAAAGAGGCCAACAUCUUUGGUGUCAGAGUUUUUGGAUGCUCCGGUGGCUCUUCUACAUCCACGAUCAUUGACGGAAUCAACUAUGUGUACUGGUAUG